GCAAGUCGUGCGGAAAGGCUCCUUCGGGAGUACUCGAGCGGCGAAAGGGAGAGUAACGCGUGGACUAUCUACCCCUCGGUCCGGGAUAGCGGCGGGAAACUGCCGGUAAUACCGGAUGAUAUCUCUGGAUCAAAGGUGAGAUUCCGCCGGGGGAUGAGUCCGCGUCCUAUUAGCUUGUUGGUGGGGUAACGGCCUACCAAGGCUUUGAUGGGUACCGGGUGUGAGAGCAUGGCCCGGCUCACUGGGACUGAGACACUGCCCAGAUACCUACGGGUGGCUGCAGUCGAGAAUCUUCGGCAAUGGGCGCAAGCCUGACCGAGCGACGCCGCGUGCGGGAUGAAGGCCUUCGGGUUGUAAACCGCUGUCAGAGGGGAGGAAAUGCAUGAGGGUUCUCUCUCAUGUUUGACCUAUCCUCAGAGGAAGUACGGGCUAAGUUCGUGCCAGCAGCCGCGGUAAUACGAACCGUACGAACGUUACUCGGAAUCACUGGGCUUAAAGAGUGCGUAGGCGGCUUGGCAAGUUGGGUGUGAAAUCCCUCGGCUCAACCGAGGAAUUGCGCUCAAAACUGCUAAGCUUGAGGGAGAUAGGGGUGAGCGGAACUAAUGGUGGAGCGGUGAAAUGCGUUGAUAUCAUUAGGAACACCGGAGGCGAAAGCGGCUCACUGGGUCUCUUCUGACGCUGAGGCACGAAAGCUAGGGGAGCGAACGGGAUUAGAUACCCCGGUAGUCCUAGCUGUAAACGAUGAGCACUGGGUCGAGGGGGCUUCCACACCUUCUCGGCCGUAGCGAAAGUGUUAAGUGCUCCGCCUGGGGAGUAUGGUCGCAAGGCAA
rnacentral:rRNA from 1 species